AAAUUUGAAAUCUGGUAGCCUUCGGCUGCCGAGUUGUAAUCUAGAGAAGUGUUUUCCGUGCCGGCCCAUGUACAAGUCCCUUGGAACAGGGCGUCAUAGAGGGUGAGAAUCCCGUCCUUGACAUGGACCCCCGGUGCUUUGUGAUACACUUUCAACGAGUCGAGUUGUUUGGGAAUGCAGCUCAAAAUGGGUGGUGAAUUCCAUCUAAAGCUAAAUAUUGGCGAGAGACCGAUAGCGAACAAGUACCGUGAGGGAAAGAUGAAAAGCACUUUGGAAAGAGAGUUAAACAGUACGUGAAAUUGUUGAAAGGGAAACGAUUGAAGUCAGUCAUGCUCUUUGGAUUCAGCCGUUCUGCGGUGUAUUUCCAUUGAGUGGGGUCAACAUCAGUUUUGACCGCUGGAUAAAGGCACUAGGAAGGUAGCACUCUCGGGUGAACUUAUAGCCUAGCGUCAUAUACAGUGGUUGGGACUGAGGAACGCAGCAUGCCUUUAUGGCCGGGAUUCGUCCACGUACAUGCUUAGGAUGUUGACAUAAUGGCUUUAAACGACCCGUCUUGAAACACGGACCA
rnacentral:rRNA from 1 species